rnacentral:rRNA from 1 species
UGGGACUGCCGGUGACAAACCGGAGGAAGGUGGGGAUGACGUCAAGUCCUCAUGGCCCUUAUAGGUGGGGCUACACACGUCAUACAAUGGCCGGUACAGGAGGGUAGCCAACCCGCGAGGGGGAGCCAAUCCCACCAAAAGCCGGUCGUAGUCCGGAUCGCAGUCUGCAACUCGACUGCGUGAAGUCGGAAUCGCUAGUAAUCGCGGAUCAGCAUGUCGCGGUGAAUACGUUCCCGGGUCUU